GAUGAAGAACGUAGCGAAAUGCGAUAAGUAAUGUGAAUUGCAGAAUUCAGUGAAUCAUCGAAUCUUUGAACGCACCUUGCGCCCUUUGGCCAUUCCGAAGGGCAUGCCUGUUUGAGUAUCAUGAACACCUCAACUCUCAUGGCUCGCCAUGAUGAGCUUGGAUUUGGGGGUCUUGCUGGCCUGUGGUCGGCUCCUCUCAAAUGGAUCAGCUUGCCAGUGUUUGGUGACAUCACAGGUGUGAUAACUAUCUGCGCUUGUGGUUUUCCAUCAGAUAACCUUCAGUGAUGGAGGUUCGCUGGAGCUCAUAAACGUCUCCCCUAAGCGGGGACAGCCCUUUGAAUGUUUGAUCUCAAAUCAGGUAGGACUACCCGCUGAACUUAAGCAUAUCAAUAAGCGGAGGA
rnacentral:misc_RNA from 1 species